rnacentral:rRNA from 1 species
GCCUAUGACAAUGCACGCAGAGUGCGCCUGAUCUCAUCAGUUCUCAGAAGCUAAGCAGGGUUUGAGCAUGGAUAGUGCUGGAUGGAUGACCACCAAGCAUGCCAGGUUUGUCAUGUGGCU